rnacentral:rRNA from 1 species
CCUACGGGUGGCAGCAGUGAGGAAUAUUGGUCAAUGGACGAGAGUCUGAACCAGCCAAGUAGCGUGAAGGAUGACUGCCCUAUGGGUUGUAAACUUCUUUUAUAUGGGAAUAAAAUGUUCCACGUGUGGGAUUUUGUAUGUACCAUAUGAAUAAGGAUCGGCUAACUCCGUGCCAGCAGCCGCGGUAAUACGGAGGAUCCGAGCGUUAUCCGGAUUUAUUGGGUUUAAAGGGAGCGUAGGUGGAUUGUUAAGUCAGUUGUGAAAGUUUGCGGCGCAACCGUAAAAUUGCAGUUGAAACUGGCAGUCUUGAGUACAGUAGAGGUGGGCGGAAUGCGUGGUGUAGCGGUGAAAUGCUUAGAUAUCACGCAGAACUCCGAUUGCGAAGGCAGUUCACUGGACUGCAACUGACACUGAGGCUCGAAAGUGUGGGUAUCAAACAGGAUUAGAUACCCUUGUAGUC